GUGGUUAUGUGAACAAUGGGGUUGUGAUUCAAAUCUUACUGAUGUACGUUUUUUAUUUUCAAUAGGUUCUCGAUGUCAAUACAGAAGCUUGAUCUGCAGACAAAUCACGAUACAUAACGUAUCCAACCCAAAACGCGAAAGAGAUUUGAAGAAAAUACCGGUCUGUUAUGGGAGCACAAAAUCGAGAAGAAGAAUAUGAUGAAAGCGGAUUGUAAGGCGAAGUGGAUAGCUGUAGCAGUGAAAAUCCGUUUUAACGUCUUUAUGAUUAUGCAAAACAGAAUUCGGGAUCUUUGAGAUCUGCUGUUGGAACCGUCGAAGGUACUAUUACUACAGUUAUUGGUCGUGUUUAUCACAAAUUCAAGCCUCUCCCUCAAGAUGUCCUCCUUUUUUUUUGACAAUAAGGUGAGGACACACUUUGCUAGCUCUGAUUGGAAAAAAGUUUUCACACUAAUAGCUUCAAAACACCCGAAUUCUACAAUAGGUAAUAAAUUGCUUGCAAAAAAUGCAGAACCAUUUCUCUCAAAUUAUAAUAUUGCAUUUGCAAUUACGAUUGUAAACCUCGAUUUAGUUUUUAUUACUCAAUAAUAUUAGUAAGUUUUUAACAAGAAAACGAUGCAUAAUACUUGCAGGUGAGUUCUAUUGCGGGA